GAAAACCAUAAUUAUCAACAAAUCUUAAAACAAUAGCCAUUUGCUCUCUAUUUGAUAUGUCUUGUGAUUCAUCAACAAGGAUACAAAAAGCAACAUGCCCAAAUUCAUCACAAUUUUUUUUUCUCACUUUGUUAGCAAGAAUAUUUAAAACCUCAUUUUGAAUCAUUUUGAAUUCAAGGAUGAAAAGAAUAACCAAAUU
rnacentral:lncRNA from 1 species